rnacentral:rRNA from 1 species
CGACCGGCGCACGGGUGAGUAACACGUAUCCAACCUGCCGUCUACUCUUGGCCAGCCUUCUGAAAGGAAGAUUAAUCCAGGAUGGGAUCAUGGGUUCACAUGUCCGCAUGAUUAAAGGUAUUUUCCGGUAGACGAUGGGGAUGCGUUCCAUUAGAUAGUAGGCGGGGUAACGGCCCACCUAGUCAACGAUGGAUAGGGGUUCUGAGAGGAAGGUCCCCCACAUUGGAACUGAGACACGGUCCAA